UUCUAGAGUGUCUUAACCAUAAGUUAUUGUUUCUUGUCAGUGUGUUGGAAGCUUUAGUGAUCCUCAUAAAGAAACGACUGUCGUGUCUGUUCAACACUCAAUGGAUGAGUUCACAAAGUCCAAAUCUUCCAUAUCAUCCACUUUCACAGAAACUGUAGCAGUCAAACCAGAAGGAAAUUUCACCUCUACAGCAGUCUUAAGGAUAAAAGUAAAUUUCAUUUUAUUCCAGCCUCUACAACCAUCUGUCCCUACAGCCCUGCAGAACCCUUCACCUGCUGUGAUUGAAGAGGCUCCAUAGGUAGUCAUGAAAAUAUAACCGACAAAAAUCACUUCAUCCUCCUAGAACGGAAGGUGUCAGAAUCCUACAGACAGUGCAAUCAGAUGGAGAAAAUAACUGGGGAAGAGAAAACUACAAAAGAGACUUUCAAUAUCUGGAAGAGUGGACGAAAAUGAAGUCAUUACGUAUACUUCAUGAAAAUAAAUGAAUCAAAUGAUGAUGUUCA
rnacentral:lncRNA from 1 species